rnacentral:rRNA from 1 species
UGCAAGUCGAGCGGCAGCACGGGGAGCUUGCUCYCUGGUGGCGAGCGGCGGACGGGUGAGUAAUGCAUAGGAAUCUGCCCGGUAGUGGGGGAUAACCUGGGGAAACCCAGGCUAAUACCGCAUACGUCCUACGGGAGAAAGCAGGGGAUCUUCGGACCUUGCGCUAUCGGAUGAGCCUAUGUCGGAUUAGCUGGUUGGUGAGGUAAUGGCUCACCAAGGCGACGAUCCGUAGCUGGUCUGAGAGGAUGAUCAGCCACACUGGGACUGAGACACGGCCCAGACUCCUACGGGAGGCAGCAGUGGGGAAUAUUGGACAAUGGGCGCAAGCCUGAUCCAGCCAUGCCGCGUGUGUGAAGAAGGCCCUCGGGUUGUAAAGCACUUUCAGCGAGGAAGAAGGCUUGGCGGUCAAUACCCGUCAAGAAGGACAUCACUCGCAGAAGAAGCACCGGCUAACUCCGUGCCAGCAGCCGCGGUAAUACGGAGGGUGCGAGCGUUAAUCGGAAUUACUGGGCGUAAAGCGCGCGUAGGUGGUUUGGCACGCCGGUUGUGAAAGCCCCGGGCUCAACCUGGGAACGGCAUCCGGAACGGCCAGACUAGAGUGCAGGAGAGGAAGGUAGAAUUCCCGGUGUAGCGGUGAAAUGCGUAGAGAUCGGGAGGAAUACCAGUGGCGAAGGCGGCCUUCUGGCCUGACACUGACACUGAGGUGCGAAAGCGUGGGUAGCAAACAGGAUUAGAUACCCUGGUAGUCCACGCCGUAAACGAUGUCGACUAGCCGUUGGGACCUUUAAGGACUUAGUGGCGCAGUUAACGCGAUAAGUCGACCGCCUGGGGAGUACGGCCGCAAGGU